GACGAACGCUGGCGGCGUGCUUAACACAUGCAAGUCGAACGGAAAGGCCUGCUUUCCCUUGUGGAUUGCGGGUACUCGAGUGGCGAACGGGUGAGUAACACGUGAGUGAUCUGCCCCCAACUUGGGUAUAAGCCUGGGAAACUGGGUCUAAUUCCCGAUAGGACUGCAGGGUGGUGCCUGUGGUGGAAAACGAUUUUCUAGUGGUUGGGGAUGAGCUCGCGGCCUAUCAGCUUGUUGGUGGGGUAAUGGCCUACCAAGGCGGCGACGGGUAGCCGGCCUGGGAGGGUGGACGGCCACAUUGGGGCUGAGAUACGGCCCAGACUCAUACGGGAGGCAGCAGUGGGGAAUAUUGCACAAUGGGCGGAAGCCUGAUGCAGCGACGCCGCGUGGGGGAUGACGGCCUUCGGGUUGUAAACUCCUUUCGACCGCGAGGAAGCCACCUGGUUGGAAGGGUGGUGACGGUAGUGGUAAGAAGCACCGGCUAACUACGUG
rnacentral:rRNA from 1 species